CUGGNAUAACAGUUCNAAAGGGCAGCUAAUACCGNNUAAAGUAUGUUUAUGUAAGUGNANUAUAUGAAAGGUGGCCUCUGNUUGNAAGCCAUUGUUUGGAGAUGAGUCUCGGUACCAUUAGCUGUUUGGAGAGGUAACGGCUUACCAAGGCGACGAUGGUUAGCUGGUCUGAGAGGAUGAUCAGCCACACUGGAACUGGAACACGGUCCAGACUCCUACGGGAGGCAGCAGUGAGGGAUUUUGCGCAAUGGGGGGAACCCUGACGCAGCAACGCCGCGUGAGUGAAGAAGGCCUUUGGGUCGUAAAGCUCUUUCAGUUGGGAAGAAAUACCUUGGGUUAAUACCCCAGGGCCUUNNCGUUACCAACAGAAGAAGCACCGGCAGGCUCCGUGCCAGCAGCNGCGGUAAUACGGAGGGUGCGAGNGUUAAUCGGAAUCACUGGGCGUAAAGCGCGCGUAGGCGGCCGGACAAGUCAGAUGUGAAAGCCCCGGGCUCAACCUGGAAUUGCAUUUGAUACUGUCCGGCUUGAGUACGGGAGAGGAAAGCGGAAUUCCUGGUGUAGAGGUGAAAUUCGUAGAUAUCAGGAGGAAUACCGAUGGCGAAGGCAGCUUNCUGGACCGAUACUGACGCUGAGGUGCGGAGGCGUGGGUAGCGAACAGGAUUAGAUACCCUGGUAGUCCACGCAGUAAACGAUGUUCACUAGGUGUAGGGCGUAUUAAAACGUCCUGUGCCGGCAUGAACGCAUUAAGUGAACCGCCUGGGGAGUACGGUCGUAAGAUUAAAACUCAAAGGAAUUGACGGGGGCCNGCACAAGCGGUGGAGCAUGUGGUUUAAUUCGACGCAACGCGAAGAACCUUACCUGGGUUUGACAUCCUGUGGAUCUAAUAGAGAUAUUGGAGUGCUUCGGGAGCGCAGUGACAGGUGCUGCAUGGCUGUCGUCAGCUCAUAUCGUGAGAUGUUGGGUUAAGUCCCGUAACGAGCGCAACCCUGUCCUUAGUUGCCACGGUUCGGCCGGGAACUCUAAGGAGACUGCCGGUGAUAAACCGGAGGAAGGUGGGGAUGACGUCAAGUCAUCAUGGCCCUUGUGGGCUGGGCUACACACGUGCUACAAUGGACGGCACAAAGGGUUGCGAAGCGGCGACGUGGAGCCAAUCCCCGUUCGUAGUCCGGAUUGCAGUCUGCUACUCGACUGCAUGAAGUCGGAAUCGCUAGUAAUCGCAGAUCAGAACGCUGCGGUGAAUACGUUCCCGGGCCUUGUACACACCGCCCGUCACACCAUGGGAGUUGGUUGCACCAGAAGUAGGUAGCUUAACCUUCGGGAGGGCGC
rnacentral:rRNA from 1 species